rnacentral:misc_RNA from 1 species
GAAAAGGAACGCUCUUUGUAACAAGGACAACAAGAAUUCUAUUUAUAACGUAACUCAAUUGACCGGUACUGGUCUUCACUGUUGAGUAUGGAUAUAUUAGAACUAGAAGUAGAUAACAUUAUAUCGACAAAUUAUCCCGAUGAUGAAUCCGAAAUAGUGACUAGAGCUGUGGGAUGUAAGUUCAAUCAAGAUUAUUCUCUACCUUACAAAGAUAGAGAACAAGUCGACUUCUCUAUACCUUACACUUCCGCGUUAAGAAGUAAACCUGUCACUUUAGAACUAUAUUUUCAUAUAGGAUCCGGGUAUGUUGUGUAUACUUGUAAACCCGCCGAUAACUUCAACCAAAAGAUAUAUGAGUCGAAUUUGGGAUCAUUCUUCUCAUCUUUUAGGAAUCUCGUCACUCCCAGAAGACCGCGUGGUAUGAACGCAUUUAGAUUUGGAUAUUUGCGAGAGGGAAACGACUGCUUUAUAAUAGUUGAAGGUUGGAGAGUCGUGCAGAUAUCAAAUGCCAACACUAUAUUCGGCGUUUCAUUGAGGUUAUCGUUAGACAUUGGCGACGUAAUCUUCAGCAAGUCCGACAAACUAAGUGCUAAUCAAAUUGCUCUAGAUUCGUGUUUGGAAUGCACUAGACCAGAUGGUUUGUUGAAAGGGGCCAAACCGAAAAGUGUUAAUAUUUUCUCUGAGACAACCCAAGAAAGUGUGAAAAUAACACCAAUUGGAGACAUUCCAUUAAGUGUUUUCAAUUCAGUAACCAAUCUCAAUCUAAAAAUACUGAGAAGUGGUGACGAUUCUACAUCGAUUAAAGAUGAGACUCAGAUCGACAAAGACCGUACUACAAUGAGUAAUGAAGAAGAUAAAAAGAAGAUCUUCCGCAUUUAUUACUCAAAUUUCUUAGACAGUGGUUUUAAGAAUUCUUUAAACUACACUAUACUUUGGCCGCAGAUAUCAUGUAACGGUGUAGAUGUAAAUCACCAAUUUUGGAUCGGUGACAGAGAAGAUAUGUUUGAAGGAGGUGUACAUUACAUACACACCACAUCGAUCAAUACGUUAUUCUUCGUACAUCGUAAGGGAGAUGUUUCAGAAUAUUUUAAAAUAAACGAAGAUCAAUCUGCCAGGAUACUGAAGACUAUACCAACUGAACUCACCUUCAGUAUAGUCAAAAAUCCUGGAAGUAAGUAUGUGGUGUAUGUCAAUGGAGAAAAAUUUUUAAGUACAUUUCUGCCUAAUGUUGGUACCAAAGUCCAAAUAGGUUGGGAAAUAAAGUUGUACAAAGAUAAGGUUAAAAAUUUUGAGAAGUCCAAUUUGAAAACUUUCGAAAUUGUUCCUAGAGAAACGCAAGUUAAGUCGGAUAAUGAGCUUGUGACACUAAGAAAAUAUGAGUUUGGAACAACAGAUUUCAAUGCUAGUGGAUGGGUACUUGAAAAGAAGUUGGGGCUGAGAUUGAAAACAAUUAAGCAUGUCAACGAACUUUUCACCGAUGACAAACCUCCUGAGAAAGAAGAACAAGUCGAUAAGACGGAUAAGCAAGACAAGAAAACACCCGAAGAAAAGAUCGACGACACCGUAGUUGUUGACAAGACAGAGGAUGCGAAAGAAAACUUGGAAGAGUUCGCACUCAAAGCCGUUGUUUAUCAACCACUAUCAAGGUUAGAAGAUGAGAAAAUCUUCAACAACAUGAUUAAAUAUUAUGAAAGUAAGGGAUUAACUCAAAGACAAGCUGAAUUACUCAUCUAUCAAAUGGGAGUUUCCUUUUGUACGAGUGUUAACAGUUGUGCAAAUACCAAUCUACAUUUAAUUGUAUCUAAACCGGAUGGAAGUUUGCUCAAGGUGUCUAAGUCCGACCACGUAAUGAGGAUGCAAAUGUUGUGUAAGAAGUACUGCAACGUUGAAAGAACGUUACUUAGAAAUAGAAGUGAUAAAAUAUUCAGACUUCUGAAGGCUAAGGUACUGGUUUUACCACUGAAACAUGCUAGGGUCAGAGGUAUAAAACCGGAAAUGGCACAUAUGGCAUGUGAUUUCAUGGACUACACCACCAUCCCAUUGAGUGAUGAGGAAGUUCUUGCAUUAAAUUCAAUGCAAAGAUUUGUAUUGAUGAGAAAUAAGCACCGCAGGUCCAUAGUGAAUGUGAAUCAACUGUUUUGAAAAUAUGUCGGGCUGGGAUGACAUACCUAUACAACAAAAUUAUGUUUCUUCCAGCGUUCGUAAUGAUGAUGACAUUGCGAAGAUAUGUGCCAGAACGUUUAACCGAGCAGUUAAUUUAUUAACUGAUUAUUCUCAACAUACUAUUCCUGAACUUCGAGAAAGUAGAUUCGAGUUGGGAUGUAUCCGAAGUCUGUGUGAAAACGAUGACCUCAAUAUCAACCUUGGAGCAGAUAAUAACAAUCUUUUCCAAGGAUUGAACAAAUUGGGCGUUAGGGCCGACUCACUUAGAGUUAACAGUGAGAGGUUCUUCCCCUCAAUAUCCAGUAAGGUGAUGACCAACGUGAUAGAUUCUAUUUCCUCUGUGAUGGAGUUUGUUAUAGAUCUUAAUCAUUCUGGGUUUUCAACCUUAUGGGUUGGUGAGAUCAUGACCAUAUAUGAUGUCAACAGUUUUGACAAACUGGUGGAUGCCAUAUAUAGGUUUUUGUUAUACACCUACAACUUCCCUGAGGAAGUGCAAUUUCAUAUGACCUUGAAUUUGUUUAAUGACGAUAUUUUAAAAAUAAUAUCAAAAGCAAAGAAAAAGAUUAGACCUCUUAGUGAUAGUGAGAGGGUUUUAAUGGCUAAAAGUAUUACUAAAGGGAUUCAUUUCGAAUUCCACUUUACUUAUAGGUCUUUAGGUUUAUAUCUUCCUAAAGUAACUAAUAGUCUAACGGUUUGUAAUAAAAAUCGAUAAAGAUAUUAGGGUAGAUUUGAUUAAUGUUUAUACCCUAGAGUCAUACACCUGAGAGAUUCGGAGUGUGUAUUGUAAAAACUCAAAAAAUAUAUGUUUCGUAUACGUAUUUCUAUUUAGAGUGUGUGUAUGAACGGUUUUCCUAAAUCGUCGUGAGACGGACCUUGGAAAACCUAGUAUUUAAAUAACUAGGUC